ACCUGGUUUUAUAUAUUGCUAGGUAUCCAGAUUUCUUGCAUGAUAAGCAAGCACUCUAGGAACUGAGACACAUCCCCAGUUGGUGUCUUGGUUUAUUUAUACAUAAAAUUCCACUCUGGUCCACACUGGGAUUGUUAGGCAGCCCUCUAGGUGGUCUCCCUGCUCCUGUUCUUGUUUCUAUUUCCUAUCUAGGAGCCAGAAUGACCUUUAUAAUACACAAGCCAUCCCCAGCACCACAAAACAACAAAAGCAGAACAAACAAAAAACCACAAGUCAGAAUCAUGUCACAACCUGUCCUUAAAACUUUCAUAGCCUUCCAGUCACUCAGAGUAAAUGUCAAAGUCCAUGGCUCAUAACACCCCUGUGUACCUUGUCCCCUGCUAGCUGCCUGAUCUGAGAACAUUUUAUCCUUAAUACAGUCCAGAAUUGCCUGGAGGUCUUGCUAAAACACAGAAUUCAGAGAUUCUGGUUCAUACAUCUCACUUGGGCCAGAGAAUUUUCAUUUCUGGUGUACUCUCAGUCGCAGGCAUGGUGGCUCAUGCCUAGAAUCCCAGCACUCUGGAGCACAAGGUGUCCUUAGCCUUCACACUGCAUGGGGAUGGCCAUCAGUUGCACUGCCUUUACCUGCUUUGAUAAGGCAUUUCUGAAUCCAGUCUCAGGGAUCCCAGGAUGGCCAAGAACUGGCUCAAUUCAAAGAGGACCUUGAAUUCCUGAUCCCCCUGCUUCCACCACUGGAGUACCAAGGUUACAGGCCUGUGUGCCCCCACCAUGGGGCCUCCAGAAUGCCAGCCCAGCACUCUACUGACAGAGCUACAUUGCCUCAGCCAGAAGCUUGAUGACCACUUUAAGUAGGCUGCUGUUUGAGUAGGUAUAUCACUGCUGUUUUGUUUUUAGUUUUGUUUCAUUUGGAGUUUCUUUUUCAGGCAGGGUCUCUUUGUAGACCGAGCUC